CACUAUUACAGCUUAUACCACUACAAUAGCAGUUGACCAUUUCUCCAUUAUUUUAUGGUUGGAUGCUGAAGAGACAAGAUAAAGCAAUUGAAAGCUACAAGACCCAACCAACCACCACCAUAACACCAACUUGGAAAAGAGGAUUGUGUAGUCUCCUAUCUCUGAACUUUGUUUUGAUCAAAACAGCAGUACUGAACAAUCUGUAUCUCAUGAAAAGCCAUCAGUUAGCGCCACUGAUACAUCUCUUUUUCUGGCAAUGGAGCUUUGGAUCCUAUGGAUAUGUCUCCUUGUUCUACUAACCACUUAGAUGGCAUACGUGAUGACAACACUUACACAAUUCCCAAGAUUUGUAAAUCAACAAAACCUGGAAGAAGGGCAUCACCAGAAGCCAUAAAGAUGUGGAAAGAAAAUGAUUUUACUAGG